rnacentral:rRNA from 1 species
CCUACGGGUGGCUGCAGUCGAGAAUCAUUCACAAUGGGGGAAACCCUGAUGGUGCGACGCCGCGUGGGGGAAUGAAGGUCUUCGGAUUGUAAACCCCUGUCAUGUGGGAGCAAAUUACAAUGAUAGUACCACAAGACGCAGAGACGGCCAACUCUGUGCCAGCAGCCGCGGUAAUACGGAGGUCUCAAGCGUUGUUCGGAUUCACUGGGCGUAAAGGGUGCGUAGGCUGUUUCGUAAGUCGUGUGUGAAAGGCCCGGGCUCAACCCGCGGACGGCACAUGAUACUGCGAGACUAGAGUGAAGGAGGGGGAAGCGGAAUUCUUGGUGUAGCAGUGAAAUGCGUAGAUAUCGGGAGGAACACUCGUGGCGAAGGCGGGUUCCUGGACAUUAACUGACGCUGAGGCACGAAGGCCAGGGGAGCGAAAGGGAUUAGAUACCCUUGUAGUC